rnacentral:pre_miRNA from 1 species
UUUUUUAUAGUGCCCUUUUUACAGUGCUUUAUAGAAAUAAUAGAAAUGUAAGCUUUUUAAAGAGCACUGUAAAAAGGGCACUAUAAAAAAA